UGGGGAAUAUUGCGCAAUGGACGAAAGUCUGACGCAGCAACGCCGCGUGAGUGAUGAAGGUCUUCGGAUCGUAAAGCUCUGUCGGCAGGAACGAUGUUUUUGAGAGCUAAUAUCUCUCAGAAUUGACGGUACCUGCAAAGGAAGCACCGGCUAACUCUGUGCCAGCAGCCGCGGUAAUACAGAGGGUGCAAGCGUUGUUCGGAAUCAUUGGGCGUAAAGGGCGCGUAGGCGGUUGAUUAAGUUGAAUGUGAAAGCCCGGGGCUCAACCUCGGAAGUGCAUUCAAAACUAGUCAACUAGAGUUCCGCAGAGGAUGGUAGAAUUCCCAGUGUAGAGGUGAAAUUCGUAGAUAUUGGGAGGAAUACCAGUGGCGAAGGCGACCACCUGGACGGAUACUGACGCUGAGGCGCGAAAGCGUGGGUAGCAAACAGGAUUAGAUACCCUGGUAGUCCACGCCGUAAACAAUGGAUACUAGUUGUUGUGGGUAUUGACCCCUACAGUGACGCAGCUAACGCAAUAAGUAUCCCGCCUGGGAAGUACGGCCGCAAGGCUA
rnacentral:rRNA from 1 species